rnacentral:rRNA from 1 species
GUAGGUGGCAAGCGUUGUCCGGAAUUAUUGGGCGUAAAGCGCGCGCAGGCGGUUCUUUAAGUCUGAUGUGAAAGCCACGGCUCAACCGUGGAGGGUCAUUGGAAACUGGAGAACUUGAGUACAGAAGAGGAAAGCGGAAUUCCACGUGUAGCGGUGAAAUGCGUAGAGAUGUGGAGGAACACCAGUGGCGAAGGCGGCUUUCUGGUCUGUAACUGACGCUGAGGCGCGAAAGCGUGGGGAGCAAACAGGAUUAGAUACCCUGGUAGUCCACGCCGUAAACGAUGAGUGCUAAGUGUUAGGGGGUUUCCGCCCCCCUUAGUGCUGCAGCUAACGCAUUAAGCACUCCGCCUGGGAGUACGGCCGCAAGGCUG